AGUACGAAACGGUCGCGUUUCCAGGCGAAGCAACCCGGGCAAGCCGACUAGCGUCUCAGAACAAGAAUGUGGUCUCGCCGAGUGGGUAGGGUUGACGUGGUCUGGGAUUCGCGAGGCUGAAGCUUUAACCGGCCCGCUUGUAGAGGUCCUGGUUGCUUGCGCAGAGAUUUGCCUCCAGUAGAUGUGGGCAACGGCGUUACCGUUGCGUGCCCUGCCUGACAGAAAGUAGACUCAGUCGCACACACGACGACGUGCCAUUAUGGGUCCAGGAAACGUGGGAGGUGUACGUCCGGUCCUUCCAAGAUAUGUGGCAACUGAUGGGAUAUUUCAAGCUGAAAAUAGUGAAGAGCCUGAGUAUCAUUCUUGAACCAUCUCCCUGCAAAUCACUGUGAAGAUAGUUUCCAGUUCAGAGAUUCAUGCUAAUGAGGCCCUGUACCAGAACUUACAGACUGCAACACUGACCCUGUUUUCACAGUAAUGGAAGAAGGCUUAUUUAUUGAAGCUUACAGAUCCAGGGGAAAUUCAUAAUGGCAGAAGAAGCUGGCCUGCUUUCACAGCUUUAAGCAGACAGAAGAGGAGGCACAAGCGAAGAAAACCUAAAGCUACACCACAAACACACUUCAGGAACUCCAGACCCUUUGGAAGAUAGCUUAGCAGGCAGCAGCUAAAGCAAGAGAGAUCUCCUGUCAAGAGGAAACCAGAUGACUUCAUUCUGGAAGAAUGUGGGCCUUGUUCCAGUGGAGUGUUAAUGAUCCUGGAAUAAAACCAGUCACCACUGAAGCAGGAGUUUUGGGGUAUCCUCUGCCAACACACAAAUAUAUGCCAAUGCACCAAUAACUUCGGCAUGUUCCUGGAUUCUUGUCCUGUGAAUUCAAAGAAUGAAGUCCACAGACCAGAGGGUAACAACUUUUUGAGGUUAUGAAUGCAUGGUCAGAAGACAGCGUUCCAAAGCACUACUCCUCAUCCUAAGGCUCUAUAUUCUUUCUGCCCUCUCUUCUGCAGUGUUCCCUGAGCCUUGAAAGCAUGGUAGAGAUGUCUCAUUUACAGCUUCUUCUGAUGUAAGGCUGUUGUGGGUAGGCAAAAGCCCUUCCCCACCAUUUCCAUACCUCUCACUGGUAUCAGCAAAGCUGGGUGAAGAACUUCGGAAAGGGUGGAGAAACACUUUGGUGAGAGGAACAUCAUUUCUGUGAGUGAGAAGCACUUCCGAGAGAAGCCUGCCCCAGCUGAUCAACACAGCGAUCUCUUGUGACCUAAUAAGUUUAUUGAUCUUUUCUCUUGCUGUGAAGCACAAUAUCGUAUAUUAUGUUUCCUCUUUGAUUCCCAAGUACCCUCUGUGAGGCUCAUGCUCUACCAUCUUACUCAAAAGUACAAAUUUUAUUUGUUAUAACUGUUAACAAACUAAGCUUUUAAAGUUAUAAAUGAAAUGAUUUGAAAAAACUUGAGCUGCUAGUAUAAAGUCAAGAGAAGAGGUUUUGGCAAGACCACAUUAUAAACUGGAAUUUGUACCCCACAUGGAAGGCAAGCCUUUACCAGCUGUCAACCCUUCCACCUCCCUUUCCCAAGGAUACGCACCUACAGAUGUAGUCCAUGGUGGCAUUGUGGAUGUUCUUUAGGGUGUAGCUUGGGAUGGACUUCUCAAGCAGGCUUUGACUAAAAUUCUAAGACUGUACAAAAGUGAAUAGCAACCUAGCCUGUUGCCCUUGAUGUCCAGUGUAUCUGAUACUAGCAGGGGCUUAGUAUAGCAUUAAUUGUAGUGUUCAAUGUACAAGACAUUGGGAAGGUAAAGGGAAAAAUGUUUUGAUAGCAAGAAGCACAUUAGGAUUUGACAAGAAGACCAAUAACUCCCUAAUGUAGCCUAACUUUGAAGUCCAGACAACUCUGCCCUUCUCCUUACCCACCUCCAAACUCAUGUGCAUAGGCCAUACCCAUGAUUUGGAAGAAAUCAUCAUUCUGUUUUUGGGUCCAUCUGGUAGGUAAACACCCAGAUGUGCAGAUUUAUUUGAUGUCUCAGAUUCUAGUCUCUGGUUGGGAGUAGAUAGAUCAAAGCUAUUUCCCAUGCAUUUACCCAGAAAAUCUGCACGAACUAUCCUGAGGACAGAGCUACUUAAUGGAGACAAAACAAGGCUCCACGUUUAGCAGAAGACCUGGUUUAUGACAAUGUCAAUUGGUCGAGGCUAUGACAGAUAGGGGAAAGUGUAAGUAGAAAAGAAACAAGGGAAUUCAAAUAUGAAGUGAUCAGACUGAAUUUAAACGAGCUACUAUUUGUUUCAGUUAAUGGGACCUAAAUCUGGGGAAGACUCAUUCAUAUAAAACCUAGGUGCGAGGUUGGGGACAUGGCUUAAUGGGUAACAUGUUUGCAGUAUCAGAAUGAAGACCUAAUAUGGAAUUCCCAGCACUCAGUGUAAAAGCUAGACAUGUUUGUAUGUGCUUGUAAGCCCAGCCAUGAGGAGGUAGAGACUGAACAAUCCCUAGGGCUUGCCAACAAGCUAGGCUGACAAAAUUGGUGAACUUUAGCUUAAUUUAGAUCCUGUUUCAAAAGAGUGACUAAGUGGCCCUGACACUUUUUCCUUCCACAUGCAUAUACAUGCAUCCAUACUCACGUAUGCACACAACUGCACACUAUACACAUAUUCAUAUACACACACAAAAUCAAUGAAGUGUUAGUGUGAGUAUAAACAGGAUCCAGUAAAGUCAUGAUCCAGUUUGCAAAAGCCUUCAUUGGCUUAUCUUUCAUUUGGGAUGGAAGGUGUAGCUUCAUCCUCCUGACCUCAUGUCUCUACUUAUAUACCACACAACAUAUUUAGUCAAAGAUCUUUGCUCAGGCUAUUCACCAUGAUUCCCUUCCCUUUCCCUUUUUCCCAUCACAAAUCCACCAGCCAUCGUAUUCCCUCCCCCUCUCCGUUAUUUUAUUUUUUUAAAUAAUUUAUUUUUACUUAUUUGCAAGCAGGGAGAGAGAGAAGAAAGAGAGAGAGUGUGCACG